GACCGGUUCGCUCAGCCGGUAGCGCGUUAAACUUUUAAUCCAACGAUCAAGGGUUCAAGUCCCUUAACGGGCU
rfam:Ciona savignyi cont_37011, whole genome shotgun sequence.